CUGAGGCUUCAGUGUGUUAGUAGAACAUGUUAGUGAACUCAGGACCAGCUGGAUGAGGGGACUGAGGCUUCAGUGUGUUAGUAGAACAGGUUAGUGAACUCAGGACCAGCUGGAUGAGGGGACUGAGGCUUCAGUGUGUUAGUAGAACAGGUUAGUGAACUCAGGACCAGCUGGAUGAGGGGACUGAGGCUUCAGUGUGUUAGUAGAACAGGUUAGUGAACUCAGGACCAGCUGGAUGAGGGGACUGAGGCUUCAGUGUGUUAGUAGAACAGGUUAGUGAACUCAGGACCAGCUGGAUGAGGGGACUGAGGCUUCAGUGUGUUAGUAGAACAGGUUAGUGAACUCAGCCCCAGGACCAGCUGGAUGAGGGGACUGAGGCUUCAGUGUGUUAGUAGAACAGGUUAGUGAACUCAGCCCCAGGACCAGCUGGAUGAGGGGACUGAGGCUUCAGUGUGUUAGUAGAACAGGUUAGUGAACUCAGGACCAGCUGGAUGAGGGGACUGAGGCUUCAGUGUGUUAGUAGAACAGGUUAGUGAACUCAGGACCAGCUGGAUGAGGGGACUGAGGCUUCAGUGUGUUAGUAGAACAGGUUAGUGAACUCAGGACCAGCUGGAUGAGGGGACUGAGGCUUCAGUGUGUUAGUAGAACAGGUUAGUGAACUCAGGACCAGCUGGAUGAGGGGACUGAGGCUUCAGUGUGUUAGUAGAACAGGUUAGUGAACUCAGGACCAGCUGGAUGAGGGGACUGAGGCUUCAGUGUGUUAGUAGAACAGGUUAGUGAACUCAGGACCAGCUGGAUGAGGGGACUGAGGCUUCAGUGUGUUAGUAGAACAGGUUAGUGAACUCAGGACCAGCUGGAUGAGGGGACUGAGGCUUCAGUGUGUUAGUAGAACAGGUUAGUGAACUCAGGACCAGCUGGAUGAGGGGACUGAGGCUUCAGUGUGUUAGUAGAACAGGUUAGUGAACUCAGGACCAGCUGGAUGAGGGGACUGAGGCUUCAGUGUGUUAGUAGAACAGGUUAGUGAACUCAGGACCAGCUGGAUGAGGGGACUGAGGCUUCAGUGUGUUAGUAGAACAGGUUAGUGAACUCAGGACCAGCUGGAUGAGGGGACUGAGGCUUCAGUGUGUUAGUAGAACAGGUUAGUGAACUCAGGACCAGCUGGAUGAGGGGACUGAGGCUUCAGUGUGUUAGUAGAACAGGUUAGUGAACUCAGCCCCAGGACCAGCUGGAUGAGGGGACUGAGGCUUCAGUGUGUUAGUAGAACAGGUUAGUGAACUCAGGACCAGCUGGAUGAGGGGACUGAGGCUUCAGUGUGUUAGUAGAACAGGUUAGUGAACUCAGGACCAGCUGGAUGAGGGGACUGAGGCUUCAGUGUGUUAGUAGAACAGGUUAGUGAACUCAGGACCAGCUGGAUGAGGGGACUGAGGCUUCAGUGUGUUAGUAGAACAGGUUAGUGAACUCAGGACCAGCUGGA